CUCAAAACAAUGACGAAGUGAAACGCAAGAGCGUGAAAAGUGUCCGCUGUUAUUAAGAGCAGCCACGGCCACUUGCCUCCCAUUUGGUGUGGACCUGGGACGGCCAACGCAGUUGGAAGACCAUCAUGGGUGGUGCAUGCUGCCAAAUGAUGCGAGGCCCUGGGAGAUCCAGGUGCUGUGUACCGGAGGAGGGGACGCAGGGCAGGUUGGAUCUGCACAUUCGGAGCCCCGAGGGGCAAGUGGAGUCCACGAAGCGCUCCGGUGAGAUGUCCCGGGAAAAGGGCGUGUGGCCCAGCCCUCGGGAGGAGAGCUGGAGAGGCCCUCAGCGAGGGGGAUGACGAUAAGCUGGAUGUCUUCACCUGCCCGCUCUUGGGGCUGCAGUGAAAACAACCGGGCUUUCAGAAGACUCUGGCAGUCCCUAAGAACCAUAUAAAAAAUACAGGGGUCAGGUCUUGCAUGGUAUUUCAAAAAUUCUGUCUCUGUGGUGGUUUUCACAUAAAGAAACUCGACAUGUCGUUAUAUUUAACUGCACACGUGCAACACAGCCAGAACUGCCUCUCGUAUGAUGACAAAAAACUCAUCUUUGUAAAAAUCUAAAUGGUGGCGGAUUUAAAAUUACUCUUAUGUGGAAGGUGUGAAUUCCCUAGAAUCCUUUCCGUCUUCGUCCAUCGGAUUAGCAUAAGACGGGAAUAUAUGGACAUUAUGCCAACACCGUGUAUGAUGCCAUCACACGUCUGUUGUGAUGCAGCAAUGUCACUAUAACCACAUGUAUAGAACUCUCUUGGAUGAACCGUCUUACUUUAAUUUAUGACGUGGAUCUCAUAAAUAUAAGCGAGGUUUUACUGAUGCAAAUAAAUGUAAGAUAACCCACAGCAGCAGAGCACAUUGUCCCCCAGUGAAUUGUGACUGCCCCUUAAGAAAAGGGGCCAUGAGCAGAAAUUGGUAUGCAUAAGGUGUGGUAGAAGUUUGGUCAAACAAGCUGCCAUGUGAUUUUGGCGCACACAUGUUUAUAUAUAAAUUAAGAAAUCUACUCUUGUCAUCUCGAGGAGGUUUUCCCACUGUAGAAAUACAACACGCAUUUGCGAAAAUGUGCUAAAAAAAGCCUACGAUGUUUUUUCUCCCGUUUUGAUUAUGGCUGUUCCUAUCAUUUACAGAAAGCGUUGGAGUUGAACUUCCAAUUCCAUAAUAUAGGUAUUGUUUUUUGGUUAGAUCCCGUUAAUAUAAAUGUGGCAUUAAACCCGCCCACUGUGGUUGUGCAUCUGUCUCAACGCACAAGAAGAAUUACUGGGGUUUGAGUUUGAUUUAUUUAAGCCCGAUCUCCGCUGGCACUUUUAUUGCUGUGGUUUAAACGCGUAACGGUUAAGCUAAAGUCGGGAUCGGCUUCGGUGGAACCCGGCACGUGGCCUCAAUGCCUGACGUGGCCUCAAGGCCCCGUUGCCUGUGACUUUGCAGAUGGGAAGAGAUGGGCUUAUCUGUAGGAGAGUGACACCGCCUGAAUGGGUUGGAGAUGCCUCUUAUAGAAUUCCUCAUGCUUGUCCUUCUCAUAUUAGUUGCGGUGAACAAAAACCUACACAUUUUUAUGAAACACCUGGAAGCAUGUAAUAAAGCUUAAGAUGUGAUGACAUGCUACUGAUGAUUUCAUGGUUAAAGAAAUCCACGUGGAUGUGAUUUUCAACUGUACACAUGUACAGGGUCAGGCCUAUACAGGUGACGGAAUUUACAGUUUGAAAAGUCGAUAGGACAUAUAUACUGUUGUAGAGCCUGGAUAUAAAUACAUAUUUAUAAGCACAGUUCUGCUAGAAGGAACAUAUCCUUACAUUACACUCGUGGAGAUAUGACUUGGGAUUUUUUUCACAGACGGGUUCCCAAACACACUUAUUGUACUGCAAUAUUUUGCCACUGUGCGACCCAGCUGGCUUGAGAGUUUCACCUGUAAUCCAGCAUCGUAGGCGAGGGUUGAUGGAGUACACAAAUGUCGUGGAGCUCCUUACCGUGGCCGUCGAGUUCGCCAUACCCUGGCUUGCCAGCCUAUGGCAGCAACGCAAGCGGAUUGAUCUCCAUCUAUGUCCAUCUAUACGGAGAGUGUCGCUACCCCGGGCACGCGUGUUUUUUCUAUGACGAUUCCGGACCACAUAGCUCGGGCAAUCAUUGGCAUCGGCUCCCCGCCUCGCUGCCUUCUCACUUAUCUGUCGUUCCUUGUGCCUCCGAGUUCUCUCUCUUCAAGAGAAAAUGAGCACUGUGCACAUGACAAGUCUAAAUGGCACUGUAUUGUCAUCGUGACCAUUGCUUUUGAUGCUACCGCACAUCGCCAACGUUUUCUAUCCUCGGCCAGAGCCUGCAGCUGCUCAACAGUAGACACACGAUCUCCAAAAUCUGCCCUAACAGUAUCCCGCCAUCUGGUCUUAGAUCUUCCCCUUGAGUUGUCAGACCCAUGGACAUCACUCGAAUGCCUGUUAGUCCAUGGGCCCAGACCAAAAAAAUGACUUAUUGGUACCACCUGAGGUGGCAAAGUCUAGUGAUGAUCUUUGUAAUCCUCCACGUGUGUGGGACAUAUUCUGAUAUGAUAACUUUUGCGGAGUGGCAGCUGAGUUGUAGUUACCAUGACUUUUAUACCCAUGCCCUAUGACAGGCGUCCGGAUGAUGAAAUGGGCAUUAUUACUGAAAAACUACCUAGACCAAAGCCAGUUAGGUCACAAACUGGUCUUUAUUGGUUUAAAUACACAAUGAAAACACAGGAUAAUAAGUAAUACUAUAGUGAGGUAAGGAACUACUGUACUUGAAUAUUGUAAACAUUGCCAUUUGCAUAUAAUUAGUCAAUGGUACAUGUUAUCCGAUAUAUAUCGUUAGUGAUGGGUAUAUGUAUACUAUUACUACCACAGUAAUACCAUCAGAAUCACCACCCUGUCACUCAUCAAACUGCUCGUCUAUCUCGUCAUCUGACUCCCCGAGUUCAAAGUCAGAUUCUGGAUCAUCCUGCAGUUUUUGCUUACUGCAGGUCUGUAACCUGCACAUGUCUGUGCAUGUCAGUCCAUUUGACAGGCACGUGCAGCUUGGCAUUUUGCAUGAAUGCACACACUUGCAUGCUAGCAGUUCCAAGACCACAUCUGGUGCGAGUGGGGAGCGCAUCCAGUAAAUGGCCAGCUUGCCAUCAUCGUCUGUCCAUCCACACUCAGCAGGGCUUGGCACCACAGGGUUAGCCUGCAGACAGCACUUCCAGAUUGCUGCCUGAUAAUUGGCUCGUUGAACAUGCAUGAAGAUUGAAGAGACAAUCUCUACAUGGUGGCAGCUGGCUGGACUCAACUUCUCCCCUUUUAGUGCAGAAGAGCUGGUAGCGCAGUUCGUUCAUCUCACCAGUGCUGCUAUUAGCAACGUACAGGCGACAGGUGAACUGCUCAAUUGUCUGGAACAGCUCAUCACUCACAUUCCAUAACUGCCCCAGUCGAAUAAAAGUCUCUUGGCAGGAAGUGUUCUUUCUCACCAUCUUCAAGGCAUUGAGCUUCCCUCGAUCGGCGAAUGCACUGACAGUGCCGCAGCCUGUGAAAGCCUGUAAGACAAUUAGGCUGUCACAGAUGCUGUCUCCAAGUGACCUUGCCAGUUUGCUGAUAUCGACAAACCGUGUGCGGUUCUGUGUCCCGCACUUUUGGUAGAUGGGACAGGUGAUGUCCUUCUGGAAGCCAAGACAAAGCACCAUGACAUCCGUGUCCUCAGCUGUGAUGAUAACUUCCUUUGAGCCCACAUUUGCCGCAUGCAAUGCAUGCAGGAGCAGACGGGUGUCAGCUUCUUCGUGCGUGGAGUGCAGCUCUGCUACCUCCUCACACUCAUCUUCUGUCAACUUGUAGCAGGUUUCCUCACAGCUCAUGUACAACACCUUGCCAUGCAGCAUCUCUCUGUAUCGUGUCAGUUUCCACUCUUCCACCAGAGACUUGAUGAGACUGGCCUUGUUGGAGUGACUGCACAGGAAUUUUCUCCACUGCUGGACGUGGUGUCCCCCUCCAAGGUUAUUGUACUGGAGAGUGGUGUCUGGACCCCGGUUCAGUCGUUCAGCAUCUAGCAUCUUUGAUCGAAGUCUGUCGGUAGACAUAAAAAACAUCAAUACUCUCACUCUGUGCCCCCUCGUGGUGGACCUGGGUCAAGGCUGACUCUGCCACCUGGGCAAAGGUUUUGUUUCGAUGUAAAGCUUUCGUGACUGCAGGGAUUGAUUUUGUGGAGCAGGCUCAUCGCAUCAAUGAUGGAAGUAGAUGGGGUUGGGAUGUCUUCUGCAAGAGACACAUUCUUUUCAAGCUCUCUGGCAAGUGCGGCCUUGUUUGUUUUUCGUAGGGACCCAACAGCAUUUGCCAGUGCCCAUGGCUGUGAGCCCAGUGGGUGGGCAAGGACAUGCCUUCAUAUUCACCUUCCUGCUUUCAGCCACCAGGAUCAUGUGACUGAACAGGUUUAUAUCUGCCUUCAUAACCACAUCCUGUCCUUUCUUUCCACGUGCUGUUUUUGUGCUGAUAUUGGAGAAUGUCUUCAGACUUUGCUUGGUCAUCUUGUCGUGGAAUUUCACAGAUGGUGGGUCCUCAGCUAACCUUGUUUGCUUGAAUACCUAUUAAACCUCUUCUCCUAUCUCAAGAGCUAUCAAGAGAUCCCUGGUCACAUCAGAUGGAGCCAUGGUGCCAAUGGAGAGGCUAACCAGAUCUGUCUCAUCAGGGGACAUAGGAUUGAUCCAGUUAUUCUCCAUAAGGUCAAUGAGAGACUGGACAUCUGCUUCAUCUCUCUUGAUCCUUGGACCCUGUAGAUCUGGAUGGGACAGUUUGGACCUGCCAUGACCUAUCAUGUCUCUCAGCUGUCUGAGGUACAUGCUUCUGUAUUCAGCUGUUAGGUAAUAUUUGGUCACAGCUCCUGGCUUCAAGCUGAAAUCCCUUUGUCCUUCCAGCUGUCUAUGAGUCUUUGUUCACCGUCUCUUCUAUAGCUUGGAUUUGGCCAAAGUGAUUGUUGGAGUCCAGUUGAACUAAGAAGCCUCCUUCCAUGAAUUCCGUGUACACAUCUGGGUGUGUGAUGGGCAGCUGAGACAUCUGGGCGUAGUAGUAUAUUCAGUCAUAUUCAGUCAGUUUUCACCUACACCAUACAGUACAAUCAGAAAUCAUCAUUACUUUCAUACAAACCCUGAAUUAAUCUGUCAGUACUUUGGUUACACAUUGACAGCAGCAGAGAGUUACAACGCAAAAGCAAAACUAACAUUGAUAAAGGGUAAAAUUCAUCUUAACUAAUCUUAACUAAAUUAAGGGGAGGUACUACAGGUGAAUAGGCAAACAAAUUCCUGACCUUGUAUCAGAAUGAAAAAUUACCAGAUGAAUAUACACAAAAAUAUAAGAUUUUUUGUAUUGUGACUUCCCCCGAUUCAUGUAUGCAUAUGCUGUGUUAUCGCAUUAGAUAUGCACAAAUGUGCAUAUUAUGUAAAACACAAUAUUGACUUAGUAGAUGAAGUUAUAACUUUUUGGUUUGUUUUAAUUGUGAUCAAUAACUAAUUGGUUGGUAAACUAUAGAGGCUUUUGUCAAAAUAUCGUUCUUUCAGUUAAUUAUGUUAAAAUACACUUGACACGUUAAAAAACUACAUUUUCAUCAACAUUUUUUAGAUAUAAUACCACAUAAAAUGAAAAUGACAAAAGACAUAAAAAAAUCCCUCAACAUUUCUAGCGAUUACAAGUAGGAAGCAGUAUUUAGAAUUAUGUGUCUUUACCUAGUAUGAAACAUGAGUUGUCAAACUCGGCAUGCAAAAUGUCAUUUUGAGAAAAACGCAAUGCCAGUUCUGGCAUUGUGAUGCCCGUAGCAAUGAUAUUUGAGAGUUCUACUUGUGUGUCCCCCCUCGUAUUGCCAUGACAGCAAAGUAAAUAGCCAUAUAUGGCUGAGCUACACAUCUGCUCCAAAGAAUAAGCUUUUCAAUGAUAUGCAAUUCAACUAGGUUAUUUCUUAAAAUGCGGAGAUAAAUUGCGAUGAAAGAUGCUAAAAAACGCUAAUUUAAGGCUUUGUUUACUUGGCGAAGUUUGUUUAAAAUCGUAAAAACUAACUAUUCAUAAAAUAUGAAUAGUUAUUUUUAUGAUUUGAAUCAUCAGUUAUUACCAACAUCAAAGUUAUUGGUAAUAAAGGUUAUUGGUAAUAAUUGUGUGCAUGUUAUGAAAGUUUACAAUUUAUAGAAGCAAAAUAUAAACAAAUAUAUAAAAAUUGACAAACUGAACAAAAAUCAUUAUAUUUGCCUGUAGGACCUGGCCCUAACUAAUAAACUUAACAGGUACAUUAACAAUACAUUGAAGGUAAAGUUAGCACUUUAGAUAUCUCCUGCCAGUAAAUUAUCAUGAGCAAACAAGCUGCUAGGAAGGAAAUCAGAUGGCGCCAAACUAUCCCAGACUGAACUAAGUCACUGAAAUUGAAGAACAAUCGUGAAUAAAUGCAAGAAUAUGUAUAAAAUACAUGCCUUGGGACAAACAUCCAUUUUGUCAAAUUUGUAUUGUCUUAAUUAACAGCAGAGGUGUUGGAAUGUUUUAUUUGUAACGUCCGGGCAAAUAGGCGUGAUUGCGAUAGAUGCAAAAACAGGUUGCCUGCGAGAAAAAUUCAACAGCUGCUGAUUUGGAAAGGUAAUCAUGUAUUAUUUUACUUGUGUUGGUGUAACA